rnacentral:rRNA from 1 species
UACGUAGGUGACAAGCGUUAUCCGGAUUUAUUGGGCGUAAAGGGAACGCAGGCGGUCUUUUAAGUCUGAUGUGAAAGCCUUCGGCUUAACCGGAGUAGUGCAUUGGAAACUGGGAGACUUGAGUGCAGAAGAGGAGAGUGGAACUCCAUGUGUAGCGGUGAAAUGCGUAGAUAUAUGGAAGAACACCAGUGGCGAAAGCGGCUCUCUGGCCUGUAACUGACACUGAGGCUCGAAAGCGUGGGGAGCAAACAGG